UACGGAGGGUGCAAGCGUUAUCCGGAUUUACUGGGUUUAAAGGGUGUGUAGGCGGGCUAUUAAGUCAGUGGUGAAAUCUCCGAGCUUAACUUGGAAACUGCCGUUGAUACUAUUAGUCUUGAAUAUUGUUGAGGUGGGCGGAAUAUGUCAUGUAGCGGUGAAAUGCAUAGAUAUGACAUAGAACACCAAUUGCGAAGGCAGCUCACUGAACAAUUAUUGACGCUGAGGCACGAAAGCGUGGGGAUCAAACAGG
rnacentral:rRNA from 1 species